rnacentral:rRNA from 1 species
CACGAAGGGUGCAAGCGUUACUCGGAAUUACUGGGCGUAAAGCGUGCGUAGGUGGUUUGUUAAGUCUGAUGUGAAAGCCCUGGGCUCAACCUGGGAAUGGCAUUGGAUACUGGCGAGCUAGAGUGCGGUAGAGGGUAGUGGAAUUCCCGGUGUAGCAGUGAAAUGCGUAGAGAUCGGGAGGAACAUCUGUGGCGAAGGCGACUACCUGGACCAGCACUGACACUGAGGCACGAAAGCGUGGGGAGCAAACAGG